UACAGAGGGUGCAAGCGUUGUUCGGAAUUAUUGGGCGUAAAGCGCGUGUAGGCGGCUUUGCAAGUCGGGUGUGAAAGCCCUCAGCUCAACUGAGGAAGUGCGCCCGAAACUGCAGAGCUUGAGUACCGGAGAGGGUGGCGGAAUUCCCCAAGUAGAGGUGAAAUCCGUAGAUAUGGGGAGGAACACCGGUGGCGAAGGCGGCCACCUGGACGGUCACUGACGCUGGAGAACGCGAAAGCGUGGGGAGCAAACAGG
rnacentral:rRNA from 1 species